UUCCCCUUCGGGGGACAAAGUGACAGGUGGUGCAUGGUUGUCGUCAGCUCGUGUCGUGAGAUGUUGGGUUAAGUCCCGCAACGAGCGCAACCCUUAAGCUUAGUUGCCAUCAUUAAGUUGGGCACUCUAAGUUGACUGCCGGUGACAAACCGGAGGAAGGUGGGGAUGACGUCAAAUCAUCAUGCCCCUUAUGAUUUGGGCUACACACGUGCUACAAUGGACAAUACAAAGGGCAGCGAAACCGCGAGGUCAAGCAAAUCCCAUAAAGUUGUUCUCAGUUCGGAUUGUAGUCUGCAACUCGACUACAUGAAGCUGGAAUCGCUAGUAAUCGUAGAUCAGCAUGCUACGGUGAAUACGUUCCCGGGUCUUGUACACACCGCCCGUCACACCACGAGAGUUUGUAACACCCGAAGCCGGUGGAGUAACCUUUUAGGAGCUAGCCGUCGAAGGUGGGACAAAUGAUUGGGGUGAAGUCGUAACAAGGUAGCCGUAUCGGAAGGUGCGGCUGGAUCA
rnacentral:rRNA from 1 species